AGAGUUUAGAAGGCAGAGAUGAGAAGUAUUUACCAACAGGGCCAUCGAGGGGUGUGAAUGGAUCCUCAUCACCCCAUAAAACUAGUACAGGUAUAGAGAUUGAUGGCAUCAAUUGAACUGGGUUUGGCCCUGGUGGGCCUGCUACAAUCGAAACAAAUGCAUCAAGUGCCCCUUCCUCAUUGGCAGGCUCUCGCAUGAACUGCAGUUUUGAGGUUGAUUCAUGAAUUUUGAGUAGCCAUUUUUGUAACAGGUUAAAAUGGCAUAUAAGAGGAGAAUAUUAAUACCUCAACCAGUGUUUCAUCCACAGAUUCCUUAUUUGCAUAAAUGGACAGUAAAAUAUUCCUCAGUAUUUCCCUACAGCACCAAUAUAUGCACAUCAUAGAGUUUUUUAAUUUUGAUUCUAGUGUCUUGGGAUAAUGAACAAUGGACUGAAUAGAGAGAAGAGAAAAUACCUUUGUUUCACACGCUCAAAUAUAGCAGAAGCAAUUGGCCUUUGCUUCAACAAAAAAUCAAUGAACCAAAGCAAUGGGAACAAUAGCUUGAUUCUCCAAUCAUCAACAAUUGCCUUGUUGUUCAUGCCACCAGCACAAUUCAACAGAACAAGCCCUCGAACAAGGGUUUGACUGGAUUCUUAUGGUAGAAAAUAUAGCAGGUUUAUCGUAAACCAUAGAUACCAAAAAGGAUAAUUACGUGCAAGUGUUUCUUUGCAAGCAAGUUGAAGAAUAUCUGAUGUCCAAGGGGAAGUUAAAAUAAAUAUACCUGAGGCAGCAAUAACACAAGCUAGGCUUCCAACAGAGUUACCUAUAAGCACAGUUGGCUUCUUAACAACUUCAUCCAAGAAAUCCAAUAUUAGCUGUAUCAGUGAAUCUCACUCAAGUUAGCAAGGAAAAUAACUAAAGGUCAAGCGAUUGAUGACAAAAGAUCCAACUUCUGGCUAGGGAACAUUGCAUACCUGAGCCCAUCCCUCCAUGGUAUAUGAAUAACCAGCUGGCUUAUCUAAAGCACCAAAUCCAAGAAGGUCAAUUGCAUAAACCGUGUAGCUCUUUGCCAGGGUGCCAAUAUUCCUGAAAUUACCUCAGAGAUGACAAGAAAAAUAUCAAUUCCUCACAUUAUUUAAUAGGAUAAAGGAAUGGUGCACAAGCAAAUUUUCAUUCCCCUUUUCAACGGAGCAGUAAAAUGAAUACUUUUUCACUAGAUUAAGAAUCGGAAAAUGGAAGAAGCCUAUAUCCAUAAAAGGGUAAUAUGAAAUGGAACCCUGAAACUCAGAUCACCGGUUUGUCAUCAUCUAGGUGCAAGGAAUAGAACUAGGUGUUAAUGCCAAUGCACCAGGAGAUAACGAAUAGAUUUACCUUCAUUAUUCUUUUGCUUCAUUCAUCUUAAUUAAUUAUUAGAAGUAUAACACAUAUAAAUGCAUCCCUGAACUUCAUAAUACAUAACAGAGUCAGAGAUAUUACAUACAUAAGGGAAAGACAUGCUCCAUACCAAAAAAAAAAUAUAGUCGAAAAUGCCCAGAACGUAAUUUGAAUUGAACUCACAAUAAAGGAGCAACGUUUUUAUGCACCCAAUAAUUAACCCGCUACACAAUUCACAACAAGAAAGAGCAAUAUUAUCUCGCUAACCUGCGCCAGUGAGGAAUGGAGGCACCAAAGCCAUGGACAAGGAGUAGAGGAGGAGAAUUGGGAUGUGAAUUUGGAGUUGAUGAAACCAAGUAAUUGAUGGAGUACUGACCCUUCCAUUUCCACAUUUUGCAACUCUCCCUUAUCUCAUUAACCUCCAAUUCCAGUGCAGCAGAAGCAGAAUCCCCUCCACUGCUACUGUUAGUAUAACUGAUAGUAACAUUUUGUCUCUUCUUCUUCUCCUUAUUCCUCUGCUGGAACUGCAACUGAAACUGCCAACUCUUAUUGCUCAAUAGGGGCAAGCGCAGGCCUUUUAGAUCUCCAUUUCCAUUUCCAAUCCUGAAUGUUGUUAUUGGAAUAAUGAAAGAGGGAGCCCGAGCCCUUACCAUCCACACGCUCAUUCUUUUCUUGCUUUUUCAAUUGAAUAUUUUCUGUGGCCUGGCUUGGCCUGCUCCUCCCCUGCUUCCACUAUUAUAUGAAAAUUUUACUGAAGCCCUUACCAUCCACACGCUCAUUCUUUUCUUGCUUUUUCAAUUGAAUAUUUUCUGUGGCCUGGCUUGGCCUGCUCCUCCCCUGCUUCCACUAUUAUAUGAAAAUUUUACUGAUACUCCGGGUGAUUGGUAUUUCCGUCCAAUAAUUUUUGCAAACUCAUCCCAUUUUUUAAAAAAUAAUUAUAAAACAUACAUGCUAUGCUUAAAAAUUUUCAAACAAAGAAGAACUUUGUAGAAGUAAUUAACUAAAUUUAUUUUAGUUUACUUUCUCCUGAUUUAGAUUAUUUUAUUAUAUUUGGUUACAAAGAUUGCUUUGUCAUAAAUUUAAAUUGAUUAUUUUACCCUUAUAAGGUAAAACUAUUAAGAAUUUACUUUAACUUUAAUAUUUUUCUAAUUUUGUACCAAACUCAUUGUUUCUAAUACUAUUUUAUUAGUAUGAGUUUUAAUCUUUACUUAAACUAAAAUAGUAUCUUUAGGGCAUGAUACUCGUGUAAAUUAUUGGGAUGUCAAUUUUAUGUAAUUUACCCAUAAAAGUAAAGAAAAAACAAUUAAAUUUUAUUUAAAAAUAUUAGAUUAUAAGCUAGAUACAUAAAUUAUUAGAUACAAUAACUCAUGUUUAUUAUGGUAAUUUAGUCGCUAUAUAUCAUAAUAAUAAAUUUCUAAAAUAAAACUUGUUUUAAAGUUUAUGAUUAAAGAUGGUCAAAAAACCCAAGAAAAAAAUCAAUAGAAGGAUUUAACUGAUUAACUAUACAAAAUUUUUAUUAAUUUGUAUUUUUUAAAAAAAUAUUGUGAAUUCAUUGCAAUUAGUUUCUAGAAGUAGGGUGGAUUUACAAAAUAGUGGGGUGCAAAUACCCUUACCCAAAUACUCCAUAAAAAGUAAAACUAUUACCUUUUUUGAUGUACUUCUCUUGAAUUUUUUAUUUCUAAGGAUAAAGUUUAAUUCAUUCCCAAAUAAAAUGAUAAUCUCUAAUUUGCUCUCAAUGUAAACUGUUGAGAAUCAAAUAAAACGGCAUUGAAUGAAGCUUUCAAAGACAGAAUCUACACUUGUCAAAGGAGUAAUCUGCACUUGUCAAAGACAAGAUCCGCGCCGAACGGAUUGACACAUUUCCUUCCGUAUUCACAUAUGUAAUCUUUGAAAAAAUGUAGCCUCUGCAUCUAUAAAUAACUCUCAAUGUAUAAUGCUUUAUUUAAGAAAUGAAAACACGUUUCUUCAUGGUAUCAGAGCCAUGAAUACGCUCAAGUUUCUUCAAGUUCCGCUGCUCUGUUUGUAACAAAAACAGAGGAAACCAAAUUCCUCCCACAACCAUUUUUCCCACCAUUUUCUUUCUUAAACCCAUUCCUACCAUUACAGAUAUCCAUGCCGAUCAAGAAACAAGCCACCCAUACGUAAAAAACUUGAGUUUACAAAUUUAUCAACAAUCCCAUCAAUUUUCCGAGAGUGUUUUCCUCAAAAACCAAGAGCACCAUCACAAUUCUCAGUUUUCAGUGAGGAAACUGUAAAAAUUUCGCAUUUAAACACAUUCCCACGCGCUCCCACGCGCCACCCGAAGCCACGGCCAGUCAACCACGCGCCACUGUCAUCAUUCACGCGCUCUCACGCGCUCCAGAGGUUGAAGAAGACGUCAGCCGACAUGUCGUUUUUAUCUCAGAAGUGCAGCAGUCAAAAAACGACGUGUCGUUUUUUGUUAUAUUAAAACCGACAUGUCGUUUUUAUAUUAGAGAUAAAACGACGUGACGCUUAGUCUCCAGAAAUGCAGCAGGAUUAAAACGACAUGUCGUUUAUAUUCCACCAUAACCGACAUGUCGGUUUGGCAAGCAGUAGUCAAACGACCUGUCGUUUUGUUACCUAAAAAGGUUAUUUUUUUUCUUCUUUCAAUCUAGACGGAAAAAAAAAAAAACAAAUAAAAAAACAAAAAAAAAAGAAAAAAAAAGAGAAAAAAAGAAAAGGAAAAAAAACAAAAAAAAUGGAGAAAACUCCAACUGAAUCUAGUCCUGUUGUCAUUCAAUUUGUUCAAUCUGAUGGAGUAUUUAAUGCUGGAAUUAUCCUCACUGAGACAAACUACGAUGUUUGGUCUCAAAUAAUGGAGAUGCAUCUUGCAGAAAGAGAAAAACUCUCAUAUAUUCGUAGCAGCACAAAGCCAUUUGAGGAAUCUUCAAAGGAAUAUGAGAAAUGGUAUAGUGAGAACCAAAAAGUAAAAAGAUGGUUACUCAUAUCCAUGUCUCCGGAGAUCAUGAAGCGAUAUUUACGAAUUCCUACAGCCUACGAAAUCUGGGAUGCAUUAUCAAAAGCCUUCUAUGAUGGAAGCGAUGAAUUACAAGUUUUCACUCUAAACCAGAAGGCAUUCUCUACCAAGCAAAAUGGACAACCACUCUCUAAAUUCUAUGGAGAAUUGGUUGAAAUAUUUCGAGAACUUGAUCACCGAGAUAAAGUGGUCAUGAAGGAUCCAGAAGAUGUUGUAAUAUACAGAAGGUCUGUUGAAAGAUUAAGAGUGCACAUUUUUUCUUGCUGGGCUAGAUGAAGAAUUUGACCAAGUUCGUGGAGAAAUUCUACGAAAAGACAUUAUCCCAGACUUAGAAGAAUGUUAUUCUCUGAUCCGAAGAGAAGAUAUAUGGCAAAGCAAACUAAACAAGAAGGUCGACUCAGAAACGUCUGCUAUGAUAGCACGACAGCAGCCUCAAAGGAAGUUUGUUGACAAGUCAUCACUCCAUUGCACUCAUUGUAGAAAGAAGGGUCAUACGAAAGAACAAUGUUUUGAAAUCAUUGGAUAUCCUGACUGGUGGGAUACUCGAAAGAAGAACACCAAGCAUGGAUCAAAAACUGCAGUAGCUGAAUCCACAUCCACUACAGAUCUUAGAAAAGAAUCUUCAGUGCAAAUCGCAACCUCUGUCAGUCCAGGUAAGGCCCUUAAAACUCUUACACCUGUUAUUAAUAGUACAUGGAUAAUUGAUUCUGGGGCAACUGAUCAUAUGACUUUUGAUUCUCGACAAGUUUCUCAAUUGAAACCAUCUUCACAAAAACAUAUUUCCACUGCAAAUGGAACCACAACCUCAGUUAUUGGGGAAGGAUCUUUACGACUCACAAAUGAAUUAAAUUUAGACACUGUGUUAAUUGUUCCAUCUUUAGAUUAUAAUCUUUUAUCUGUGUCUCAAUUAACCACUUACUUAUCAUGUGUUGUAAUUUUUUGGCCUGAUCAUUGUGUGUUUAAGGACAUCCAAACGAAGCAAACGAUUGGUUAUGGUAUUAGACGAGGCAACUUGUACUACUUGGAGAUGUCAUCAACAAACACUGGAAAGCUAAGCCCCGCACUAGUCGCAGAUAGUUCCAUAAAAAAAGGGAAAUCAGAAAUUUGGUUAUGGCAUAGACGUUUAGGGCAUGUGUCAUUUGGUUACUUAAAAAAUUAUUUCCUAGUUUGUUUCUGAAAUUUGAUGUUUGUAACUUUAAAUGUGAUGUUUGUGAACUUUCAAAAAGCCAUCGAACUACUUUUCCAUUGUCCUUAAAUAAAAAUCCAGUUCCUUUUAUAGUAGUACAUUCUGAUGUAUGGGGGCCAUCUAAAGUUUCUACAAUUGGAGGUGCUCGUUGGUUUGUUACAUUUAUUGAUGAUUGUAGCAGAAUGACAUGGAUUUUUCUGAUGAAAUCGAAAGACGAAGUAAACUCUUUAUUUCAAAGAUUUCAUAAGAUGGUGACAACUCAAUUUCAGACACAAAUUCGAGUUCUACAUACUGAUAAUAGAGGCGAGUAUAUGAGCACAGUAAUUCAACAGUUUCUGAAAUCACAAGGAUCUGUCCAUCAAACCACUUGUGUGGGGACACCCCAACAAAAUGGCGUUGCUGAACGAAAAAACAGACAUUUACUAGAAGUUGUUCGAGCAUCACUAAUCCAAGCCCACAUGCCAUUAUUUUAUUGGGGAGAAGCACUGGCAUCCACAGCAUACUUGAUCAAUCGAACACCAUCAUGCUCCCUUGGAUUCCAGACUCCUUUCCAAGUUCUGAAUGAUGCAAUUAUGUCACCAAAUGUGCCGAAUCUGCCCCCACAUGUGUUUGGCUGUGUUGCCUUCGUUCAUUUGCCGCAACAAGACAAAUUAUCUCCUCGAGCACUACGUUGUGUGUUUGUAGGGUAUGCCUUACAUCAAAAGGGAUACCGAUGCUAUCAUCCACCAUCAAGAAAAAUAUACAUCACCAUGGAUGUCGUUUUUCAUGAAGAUAUCAUGUACUACUUGUCAGAGUCUGAAUUUCAGGGGGAGUAUAAUGAAAAGGAAAUUCAUACUCUUACAUAUCUUCCACCUGAAGAAAGUCAAUCUUCCAUUGAGAUAGUAAACCUUCAAGAUACUGGAAAAGCAAAUGGUGAUGAUUCGCAGGCUGAGAUAUGUGAAGACACAUUUGGGGAGCACAAUAACUCAGACACAACUGCAAUCGAGAAUGAGUCACAUGAAGAAAUACCUAACCAAUCGUCUGCAGAGGAUGUUCCUACCACAAGUCCAAUCAGAAGAAUUCUUCCCCAACGUCAAAAUAGAGGUAUCCCUAAACCCACAUAUGAGCCUGACUUCUCUAGUAGAGUCAAAUACCCUAUGAGUCAUUUUGUGUCUAACCAUCGCUUGUCAGAAUCAAAUCAGUCAUUUGUGAAUCAAUUAUCUGCUGUAUCUAUUCCUAACAGUGUGCAGGAAGCUUUAAAAGAUCCAAAGUGGAAAGCGGCUAUGAAUGAUGAAAUGAGAUCUCUUCAGAAAAAUCAAACAUGGGAACUAGUUGAUCUUCCACCAGGAAAGAAACCAGUGGGUUGUCGAUGGAUCUACACUAUAAAAUACAAAGCAGAUUGCUCUAUUGAAUGAUACAAAGCAAGACUCGUAGCUAAGGGUUACACCCAAACCUACGGGAUUGAUUAUACUGAUACAUUUGCACCGGUAGCAAAAAUUAAUACUAUUCGUAUCUUAUUAUCAUUAGCAGUCAACUUGGAUUGGCCAGUGCAACAGUUCGAUGUAAAGAAUGCUUUCCUCCAUGGAGACCUGUUUGAAGAAAUUUAUAUGGAUCUGCCACCAGGAUGCAGUGGACCAGAAUGACUCAAUCAGAAAGUAUGCAAAUUGAAGAAAUCAUUGUAUGGGUUGAAGCAAUCCCCAAGAGCAUGGUUCGGGAAAUUCACAAAGGCUAUGGUUCGUUUUGGGUAUAACCAAAGCAAUUCAGAUCAUACCUUAUUCAUUAAAAAACGACAAGGUAAAAUCACUGCCCUUAUUGUCUAUGUGGAUGAUAUGGUAGUUACAGGCAACGACGAGGAAGAAACAGAGGCUCUUCAGAAGUACUUGUCAAGAGAGUUUGAGAUGAAGGAUUUAGGUGCCUUAAAAUAUUUUCUUGGAAUUGAGGUUUCUCGAUCUAAGGGAGGAAUCUUUCUGUCUCAAAGGAAAUAUGCCUUAGAUCUAUUACACGAAACGGGAAUGACAGCUUGUCAGCCUAUUGACACCCCAAUAGAAGAAGGACUGAAGUUUUGUAUUACUUCAGACCAAGUUCCAGUAGACAAAUGAAGAUAUCAAAGGCUGAUUGGAAGAUUGAUGUACUUGUCCCACACAAGGCCAGAUCUUGCUUAUGCAUUGAGUGUUGUAAGCCAGUUUAUGCAUAAUCCCGGAGAACAACACAUGAAAGCAGUAAUGCGGAUCCUGAGGUACCUGAAGACAAAUCCAGGAAAAGGAAUCUUAUUUUCCAAAAAUGAAGAUUACAGCAACAUAGAAGUUUAUACUGAUGCAGAUUGGGCCGGGUCAGUUAGUGAUAGACGCUCUACUUCAGGAUACUUUACCUUUGUGGGAGGAAACCUUGUCACAUGGAGAAGCAAGAAACAACAUGUCGUUGCCCGUUCGAGCGCUGAAGCAGAAUAUCGAGGCAUGGCCCUUGGGAUAUGUGAAGGGCUAUGGAUAAGUUUUAUCUUAAACGAUUUGGGCUAUCCAUCACAACAACCAAUACAACUAUAUUGUGACAACAAAGCUGCACGAGAUAUUGCUCAUAACCCAGUUCAACACGAUCGAACAAAACAUGUGGAGGUAGAUAGAUUUUUCAUCAAGGAGAAAUUAGAUGGAAAAAUCUUAGAACUACCGAAAAUUCGAUCAGAAGAUCAACUUGCAGAUAUUUUAACGAAGGCCAUUUCAAGCAGGGCAUUUACAAAAUUCCUAGACAAGUUGGGUAUGCAAGACAUCUAUGCACCAGCUUGAGGGGGAGUGUUGAGAAUCAAAUAAAACGGCAUUGAAUGAAGCUUUCAAAGACAGAAUCUGCACUUGUCAAAGGAGUAAUCUGCACUUGUCAAAGACAAGAUCCGCGCCGAACGGAUUGACACAUUUCCUUCCGUAUUCACAUAUGUAAUCUUUGAAAAAAUGUAGCCUCUGCAUCUAUAAAUAACUCUCAAUGUAUAAUGCUUUAUUUAAGAAAUGAAAACACGUUUCUUCAUAAACCUCAAUUUAUUCUUCAUUUCCGUCCAAAAGAUGAGGGGAAAUAAGGAAUGUGUUGAUGUUUUUUUUUUUGUUUUAAUCUUCUUAACAAUAAAUGGGGUAACUUGAUAUUUUUAUAUUUUUAGGUGAUAAAUUAAAGAUUUUCAUUUUAAAUUGGGGCCAAAUUAAAAUCUAUCAUAUUUCUAAAGGCACCACGUGAUUUGGCAAAAUAACUAUAAAGAUAUUUUGUUUUUAGAAAAUAUUACACGUCUCUUUUGAGAUACACAAACUCUUUUUUAGCUAAAAGAUUGGGAUUUGUGUGAUUAUUUCUGAACCAAAAGGUUUGUGUUUUAAAAAAAAUGAUUAUGUGACUGUAUUGCCUAAUCGAGAGGGUCAUUAUUCAAACACCAAUCACAUUUUUGUUUUAAAACACCCUUUCAUUUAUUCUUUAAGCUUCUUUUUUUUUCCCAAAAAAUGAUGAAUAGAUAUUGAAAAUUUUGUUUUCAUUUUUUAUUGAAAAAAAUGAAAAACACCAAAUAUUACUGCUUCCUUGUCCAUACUUUUUCGUCCUAUAUUACCUUAAUUUUAUAUCGUUUUCUCUAUUUCUAUUUUUAUAGUCCAAUUCUGAAAAUACACUAUUAGACACAUUUUUAAAUUGAAAAAAACCAAACAUAGUGCAUCAUUUUCAUUAUAAGCAUUAACACCUGACGUACACAUUCUCCAAAUGGGAUUAAUGGAAAAAAAAUGGUGACUCCUUCACAAAUGAAGUUGUACAAUUAGUUUGAAUUGAGUCGAUACAGAGACGUCUCCAUUGCGUCAUCCAUUUAACUGUCUUGUGCAACCUUAUUUGUACAAGUAGGAUUCCUCAUUGGCCAAGUAUAUGCAUAGUUGCUGGUUUAUUAACCCCAAAACACCCUCCACUUAAUUCAAGGUCUUAAAGAGAAGUCCAAUCUUACAGGUUCGUUAACAUUUUAAAGGUAAGUUUUAUCUUGUAACAUUCACACAAAAUUUAUAAUCAACUGGGGCGGAAAUUUUGAAAAUACUAUGAUUAGCACAAGCAUUUCAACAAUAAAGGAUGUAAUAAAAGCUCAUUAAGUUUAAACUUGAAAGGAAAAUUAGGGCAAGGUCAUUUCUUUAAAAAGAAUAAGGCAAGAUGAUGCACGGCAUGAAAUACCUGCGACCAAGCCUCAAAAGAUUCAUCAAGCCCAGUAUUUUGCUUGCCCUCGGCAUAAUUACACUUGGCUUCCCAAACAAAUUAUUGCUGGAGCUCGGACAAUGGAAGUAUUCAAUUUAACUACAUAAAUAUCAGCCGGAGCAUAAUUACACUUGGCUCCCUAACGAAUAAUGCUCGAGCUCGGACAGAGGGCAGGAAGAAUUAACUACAAAACCACCAGAUUUAUCGUGUUUUUGUCCUGUUAAUUAAUUGUUUUCAAUUAACACGGUAACCCGGCUCGGGUGUUAACUCUGUUUCUGUCAGUGCUCUGUUGAAUAUUUCUGUUUAAAAAUCAGCACUCGCAUGUAAGUAGUAUGGCAGCAGCAAAAUCUCAUGUGUAAUAAUUAGGCUAUAUUAGUUCUGGGUCCAGGAAUCGAGAUAAUCAGAUUUGGUGCAAAAGCUAUAUGUACCAAUUUAUGUAGCCAUGCAUAAUAUAUUCAUUUUUUACUUGCAAAUUCUUCCUUUUCACAACUUUAGGUACAACUUUUCCUUUCCUUUUGAAGGCCCACUCCACUGGCAUAGAGAGUAAAAAGAGUUUCUUAUAAAUAAUUUUAGGAGGAUGCUUCUGCCACGACAAGUAAUACCAUAAACAAAUGAUUUCACCACAUUUCAAGAAAGCAUUUAACUUAUGCCUCAUUUUCAUUCUAGAAAUUUGCUUGCCAUUGGCUGAUUGGAAAAAGUGCAUUUUAAGUGAUAGAUCCCUACCUUUAGCACGAAUAGGGGUUAAACAAAGUAAAUCCCUACCUUUACAUAUCAAAUAAAAGACUUUCAUAAUGUCUUUUAAAAUUUUCAUGUUUCAAAUGAAGAUUGUCCAUUAAAAAAUUACACACAUAAUGUAUGUAAAGCAAUUAAAACAAAAAAAACAAACAAACAAUCCAACCAUUAAUAACAUAAAACUUUUGUAAUUCUGGUAAAGUGAAUGAGAAGCAGAACAUACAUUUCACGUAAUAAUGAAGAUACUGUUGUGCGCGGAAUGCGGAAUCAAGCACACCAAAUAAUUACUGAAAAAUAAAGGACACAAGAAUUUACGUGGCUCGGUAAUUAAACCUACAUCCACGGAGGCAAGAAAGAAUAAUUGUUUAUUUAACAAUUAAUAGAGUACAAUAUUUGAGUAACGAAUCUCACUUCCCAGAAACCCAAAUAUACCCAGUACUCUCACACUCUGCAGGAAAGAUAAAUUCCCCAGACACACUUCUCUCACUUCUCUCAAAAGCUUAGAAACUUAUAAGCUUAACAAUUUUGGGAUGAUAUCAAAUGAAUGAAAUCCUUAGCUAUUUAUAGGAGAAAUGAAUUACUAUGCAAAGAAUAAAAUAAUAAUAAUAUAUUUUUAAUUAUUAUUAUUUUUCCAAAUCCAUCCCCUAUUCUCUCUUUUCAGCUUAGCAAAAUCCAAUUUGAUUUUGCUUCUCCAAAGCUUGCAUGCUAGCUGUUGCAAAGUUGGCUUUGGCUUUUGACUUUUCAACAAUUCUCCACCUCGGUGAAAAUUUAGCCAAAUCUGAGCCGACUACCAACGAACCCUCAUCCCCAAAGUGAUCCUUCAAUAAGGAUCCAGAAUGGCUGUGUCGAUUCGACUGCCUACGUACCCAAGAACAUUAUUCAUAAACAAAGAGCCAAAUAUGCUUUAAAGCUACUUAAAAAUAUGCCAUCAGGCACUGACGCAGACACUCAACAACAAAAAACAGACUUAUUAUAUUUGUUGCACAAAAGUGAAAAAGCAAAUACUCUUACUCAAGUAUUAUAUUUGUUGCGCAAAUAAGAAAGAAGAUAAUAAUUUUAAAUUAAUCAACAGGUUGAAUCUUAUCGUAAUACACACUAUCAGCUAUGAAUUAGCAUACCUUAGAAGUCUUGANNNNNNNNNNNNNNNNNNNNNNNNNNNNNNNNNNNNNNNNNNNNNNNNNNNNNNNNNNNNNNNNNNNNNNNNNNNNNNNNNNNNNNNNNNNNNNNNNNNNNNNNNNNNNNNNNNNNNNNNNNNNNNNNNNNNNNNNNNNNNNNNNNNNNNNNNNNNNNNNNNNNNNNNNNNNNNNNNNNNNNNNNNNNNNNNNNNNNNNNNNNNNNNNNNNNNNNNNNNNNNNNNNNNNNNNNNNNNNNNNNNNNNNNNNNNNNNNNNNNNNNNNNNNNNNNNNNNNNNNNNNNNNNNNNNNNNNNNNNNNNNNNNNNNNNNNNNNNNNNNNNNNNNNNNNNNNNNNNNNNNNNNNNNNNNNNNNNNNNNNNNNNNCACGAUUGGGGUUAUUAAACUGAAGUUGCAUGAUAACUCAAUUCUUGAACUCAAACAAGUGAGGCAUGUACCUAAUUUAAAAAGGAAUUUGAUCUCACUGGGGAUGUUGGAUCAGAUAGGUUGUGUUGUUAAGGUCCAAUAGGGUAUAAUAAGUGUUGUAAAGGGGUCAUUGGUUCUGUUGAAAAGAAUCAGGAAGAAUGGUAUCUAUGAGUUAGAAGGGACAACUGUGACAGGGAUGGUGUCAGUGUCAUCUAGCUCUAGUGUUGACAAAACUAGGCUAUGGCACUUAAGACUUGGACAUAUGAGUCUAAGAGGCCUUAAAGAGUUGUCAAAACAGGGGCUGUUAGGUAGUGAUACAAUUGGUGAGAUGGUGUUUUGUGAAGAUUGUGUCCUAGGGAAAUCUACAAGAACCAGUUUCAAGUCAUCAGUUCACACUACUAGAAGCAUUCUAGAUUACAUACACUCAGACUUGUGGGGACCUGCACAAGUAAUAUCACUAGGAGGUGCAAGAUAUUUUUUGUUUAUAAUUGAUGACUUUUCAAGAAGAGUCUGGAUUUAUGUGCUCAAGAGUAAAGAACAGGUGUUUGAAAAAUUCAAGAACUGGAAGGUUUUGGUUGAAAAACAGACUGGAAAAACAGUGAAGAAGUUGAGGACUGAUAAUGAAUUAGAGUUUUGCAACUAGGUGUUUGAUGAAUUUUGUGCAAAGGAAGGUAUUGCAAGGCAUAAAACUGUAAGAAUGACACCUCAGCAGAAUGGCUUAGCUGAGAGAAUGAAUAGGACUCUCAUGGAUAAGGUGAGGUGCAUGAUGAUUCAAGCCAAGCUACCUAAGAAUUUGUGGGCUGAAGCAAUCUCAACACAGCUUGCUACCUGGUAAAUUUGAGCCCUUCCACUACCAUUGAAUUCAAGACACCUUUUGAGCUCUGGUAUGGUAAACAAGCCAGUUAUAAAGACCUUAAGGUGUUUGGUUGUCUGGCUUAUGCUCUCAUAAGCCAAGGAAAACUAGCACCCAGAGCACAGAAAUGUGUGUUCAUUGGGUAUCCAGAGGGAACCAAGGGUUACAAGCUUUGGUGUACUGAUCUCUCUCCACCCAGGUGCAUAGUAAGCAGAGAUGUCAAGUUCAAUGAGGAAGCAGCAGUGGAGAGUAUUCAAAGAAACAGUGUUAGAGCUGAUCAAGUUCAUGAUGAACAUUUUGAGGUGGAGACACCUGGCAAUCUGAAUCAGAAUGAUAAUACAGAAUCAGCAGAAAGUGCUGAUGAUAUUGGAAGACAGGAGUCACUUCAAGAAGCUAGAUCAAGUAAUGGAUUAUCAGCUGACAAGAGAUAGACAGAAGAGACAAAGCAAAGCACCUAAGAGGUAUGGCUAUGAGAUAAAUGCUGAAGAACCACAGAAUUUCAAAGAGGCCACUAACUGUCAGUAUGCAAAAGAAUGGAAGAAACCUAUGGAUGAAGAAAUGACCUCACUGUACAAGAAUUGUACCUGGGAACUAGUUAAAAGCCCGAAGAAUAGGAGGAUUGUUGGUUGCAAGUGGAUAUACAGAAUCAAAGAGGGUAUGACUGCAGCUGAACCAAGGAGGUUUAAGGCUAAGUUAGUUGCAAAAGGGUACACUCAGAUGAAGGGUGUUGAUUUUAAGGAAGUUUUCUCCCCUGUAGUAAGGCAUGCUUUCAUAAGAGUGCUGAUGGCUAUAACAGCAACACAGAAUCUGGAGCUGGAACAGCUUGAUGUUAAAACUGCUUUUUUACAUGGAAAUCUUCAGGAAGAAAUUUUCAUGAGUCAACCAGAAGGAUAUGAAGCUCCUGACAGAAGAGAUUAUGUAUGCUUGCUUAAGAAAUCCUUCUAUGGCCUGAAGCAAUCUCCCAGACAAUGGUACCUCAAAUUUGAUGAGUUUAUGACCACUCAUGGAUUUCAGAGGUGCAAUUACAAUUGUUGUGUCUACUUUAAACAGCUAAGUCAUAAGAAACAUAUCUAUCUACUGCUAUAUGUAGAUGAUAUAUUGAUUGCUUGUGAAGAAAGGUCUGAAAUAGAUGCUCUAAAGACAUUACUUGGCACUACUUUUGACAUGAAGGAUUUAGAAAGUGCUAAAAGGAUAUUGGGAGUUGAUAUAAGAAGGAACAAAAGUGAAGGGCUGGUAUUUUUGUCUCAAGAGAAAUACUUGAAGAAAAUACUGAAAAAUUUUGAUAUGAAGGAUUCUAAACCUGUACAAGGCCCUUUAGCAGCACACUUCAAGCUUUGCAAUCUAUAUUGUCCAAAGUCUGAAGAAGAAAGACUUGAGAUGGCCAAUAUUCCAUAUGCAAAGGCAGUAGGAUGCCUUAUGUAUGCCAUGGUGCUAACUAGGCCUGACAUCUCACAUGCUGUGAGUGUUGUCAGCAGAUACAUGGCAUCUCCAGGCAAAGAACACUGGAAAGGGGUGAAAUGGAUACUAAGGUAUCUAAAGGGUACUUUGAAUGUUGGCCUGGUAUAUGGAAAGAACUCUGGAACAGAAGAAGGGUUGUGGGGCUAUGUAGAUUCUGACUAUGCAGGAGAUCUAGACAGAAAAAGAUCACUCACAGGAUACUUGUUUAUGUUGAAUGGCUGCCUGAUAAAUUGGAAGGCAAACUUGCAGCAUGUAGUGGCACUUUCCACAACAGAAGCAGAAUUUACAACUGCCACUGAAGCUGCAAAGGAGGCCAUUUGGCUUAAGGGCUUAAUCACUGAGCUCGAUUUAAAACAAGAGUCUGUACCAAUUUUCUGUGAUAGCUCCAGUGCACUGCAUUUGUGUAAGAAUCCAGCUCACCAUGAGAAGACCAAACAUAUUGAUAUCAAACUUCACUUCAUCAGAAAUGAAGUCUCCAGGGGAGUUAUCAAGAUGGUUAAAAUACAUACUGAUGACAAUCCCUCUGACAUGCUCACGAAGGUGGUUCCUGCAACUAAGUUCAAGAAAUGUUUGGACUUAGUUGGUAUCUGCAAAACCUGAUAUGAAUCAGUUGGUGAAUGUAUCAGUUGCAGGGUGUUUGAUUCAAGGUGGAGUAUUGUUGGCUGAAAGGUGAAUUCAAACACCUUGGCCAGCAAACGACAGCGUUUCCAGCAUUGUUCAGUGCUUCAAGUAGCUCACGUGAGAAGCACAGCCAGCUCUUAGUUCAAAACGGCAACAUAUGAGAUCGUUUUGAAUAUACUCAACUUAAUUGAGAUCACGAGUCUUUCACGUGAUCGUUAGCUGAAGCUGAGUUCAUUAAAUAACAGACUCAUAGCACACGUGUCAAGGAGCUGUAUGAUCUGGGUUGUUGAAGCUGUUACAAGACUGGUAUAUAAGCUGCAGCCUUCUGAUUUUGGAGGCAUCGAGCGUAAUAGAGAUUAAGGGAACUCUGAGAGGAAGUGUUUUACUUGUUCUUGUUCUUAGAAUCUCUAUAACAAACUUCUUGAAUCAUUCAAUAAAGCUGCCUAAGGAAUUCACUCGUGGAUGUAAGCCAUUGAUGGCUGAACCACGUUAAAGCUUGUGCUCUGUUUUAGUGUGAUUGGUUUUCUUGCUGGUUUCUUGGUUUCUGUGUUUGUAAUUAAUCUUUUUGUUAUGAGCUUUGUUGGGUUUAGUUGAUUCUCUGAAAUUGAUCUAAACUAAAACUGCAUCUUGAUUAAUCUUGGCUGAGAAACUUGGGAGGAUCUGGUUCUUCAUCAAAGCAAAGCCAAGAACCAGAUUCAACAGCCUUCUUUCCUGCUUUGCGCACACAACCCAUGACUAUUUUGUUAUUGAGCUUUGCAACCCAAAACACAUCUACUUAGUUAGGAGAGCACGUAACUUAUAAACCAGGACGCGCAACAAGUUCUUAUUGGUGGAGCUAUGUUGUGGGCCCAUAUCUCUAUCAAUGAAAAUAUGUCACUCACCCCGUUGGCGCACUGUAUCAACUCUCAUGUACAUAACACAAUCACAUUUGAAAAUUUUCUACUUUCUUAAAUCUAAAUUGUUGUAUAUGGGAAAGUUUCAUCAUGUGGAAGCAAAAGCCAUAAAGAGGGAACAGUUAAAACACCAUCAAAUCUUAUAUAUUUUAAUAAAUAUAUUUGCAUACUGAUUUUUUUUUUUUUUUAAAAAAAGAACAGGAUUGACUCAACUCAUUUGUGUUGUGAAUCCAUUUGCUUAAACAUGUAUGCACUUUUUCAAGUAUCUAUAACAAUUCCAUUAUCGGAAUGGUGCAUUUGAUUCCAUAGUUAACAUGGUAUCGUCAUAUGGCUAGAAUUUACAUUUAAAAAAACUGACCUGUAAGGAAAGGAUUAAAGAUGCCCGUGAACUUAUAUUUCUAUUGAGAUUAUUUUAUUUUUUCCAUGUGAAAAAUUGAACCCUAUUAACAUGAACAAUGUAAAUUACUAAAUCACCGUUCUCUAUUCUUUAGAUUGCUGUAUCUUUUUCAUGUAAAAAAUUGAAUCCUUUCAUUCACAUAUCAUUAACAUGAGCAAUAUAGAUUGUGCUGAAUUUGGCUUUUUGAAGCAAGUUAGACUUUUUAUCGAAUAAUUUGGUACAUUUCUUGAAUCAAUUUGGAGCUUCUGUAACACGUCAAAGAUUAGUAUCUCCUACAUUCCUUUCGGUGCCAAAAGAUAUUCAAGCAGUUGAAAAAGAAUUGAUAUAUACAAUGUAAAUACUAGAAUUGUUUGUCAUUUUACACUAGGAAUGAUAUAUAAUGCUUAUCAAAACUUGUUGAUAAGAAAGUAAAUUCCUCAGCAAUCAGAUGUUUCAGCCAACCAAUUAAGGAAGCAGCUUUACCAACAGGUCCAGCGACGGGUGUGAAUGGAUCCUCAUCACGCCAUAAAACUAGUACAGGUAUAGAGAUUGAUGGCAUCAAUUGCACUGGGUUCAGCCCUGAUGGGCCUGUCACGAUCAAAACAAAUGCAUCAAGUGCCCCUUCAUCAGUGGCGGCUUCUCGUAUGAUCUGUAGUUUUGAUGUCAAUUCAUGAAUUAUGAGUGGCCAUUUCUGUAAGAAAUUUAAAUGGCACAUAAGUGCAGAAUAUUAAUGCCUACUAGCGUUUCAUCCACAGAUUCAUUAUUUGCAUAGACAGUAAAUUGCUCCUCAGUCUUUACCAGCAGCACCAAUAUAUACACGUCAUAGUGUUUUUUAGUUUUGACUCUAGUAUUUUAGGAUAAUGAACAAUGGACUGAAUACAGACAAGAGAAAAUUCGCAUGUUAUAUAACACAAUUAAAAUAAAAUAUCAUUUUUCAUACAUUUUAUUCAUUAAAAACAUAGUAAAAAAAAAUUCAAAAAUUCAGUGGCGGCAAACGUCCUCUCUGGAAUCUUUGUGAGCAACACGUACGUGGUGUCUUCACUAAGUGUUGAAUCUUUAGCUUCAAAGGAAAGAAACAAAAAAAAAAGGGUAGGGAUAUUUCCAUCCCAUUAUUUUUGUAAAUUCACAGCACUUUACAACAUAAUUAUAAUGAAUUCACAAUAUUUUAAAAAAAUAAAAAUUAAUAAAAAUUUUGUAUAGUUAAUCAAUUAAAUCCUUCUAUUACCUUUCUUCUUAGAUUUCUUUGACUCUAUUUGAUCAUAAACUCUUAUAUAAAUUUUAUUUUUCUAUUUUAUUAUUAUGAUAUAAAAUGAACAAAUUGCCUAACAAACAUGAGUUAUUGUAUCUAAUAAUUUAUGUAUUUAAUUAUGUGAACUAAUAUUUUUAAAUGAAAUCUAAUUAUUAUUUUCACUACCUUACAAAUAAAUGAUAUAAAUUUGACAAGCUA
rnacentral:lncRNA from 1 species